CCGAGCGCGCGCACAUCCCACUACGGUCGAUCUUGAAUGCGACAUCCCAGGAUAUGUCGCCGACCCAUUCAUUUCUUUACGCAUGCGGAAGCGAAACAAAUCCCCCCUUAUAACAUUUAACUUGGGAUAGAAAAGCAGGAAACAAAAUCACAACAUAACACUUUCGUAAAUCAACGAAAUUACAAACAAAGGUCUACGGCCAAAAGUCUACAAAAGACUGGCUCUUAAAAAGAGAUUAUCCUACGACCUACAAGACGUACACGAUCUCCAAUCCUUAUGACUUCACUUCUCCAACUCUUCAAGGCCAACCAAAGCUAUCUGGCCGCUCCGUCCAUCAGGGACCUGAAAUGGUUAUUCAAUAACCACUGAGACCACGUCUCAGCAAGUUCAACCCCCUAAACCCCUAUUAGAAAGAAAAUACGCCCCGGGUGGCCUAGCCACAUCACACAGAAGACUUACCUCGCCUCAGCCUUCAUCUGCAGGUUAGCACAAUUUAUAUAAACCAACCACGUGCAAUUAUGAUAACCAAACAACCGUGGCUCAAUCACAUUAUCAAAACAAUUCAACCACUUGGAUCGUCUCAGCGAUCAAUCGACUCGGCCGAUUUCAUGUCAUUCUAGCAAAUCAAUCAUUGCUCUCAACUACGGCCCUACUCGGCGCGACCUUUAACAGGUGGCAAUUCACGGCCCCAUUGGGCGCGACCUCUAAUAGGUGGCAUAAAACGGCCCCACUGGGCGCGACCUUUAUCAGUGGCAUAUCACGGCCCCAUCGGGCGCGACCUCUAAUAGGUGGCAUAAAACGGCCCCACUGGCGCGACCUUUAUCAGUGGCCGAUUUCAUGUCAUUCUAGCGACCUCUAUAGUGGCAUAAAACGGCCCUACUCGGCGCGACCUUUAACAGGUGGCAAUUCACGGCCCCAUUGGGCGCGACCUCUAAUAGGUGGCAUAAAACGGCCCCACUGGGCGCGACCUUUAUCAGGUGGCAUAUCACGGCCCCAUCGGGCGCGACCUCUAAUAGGUGGCAUAAAACGGCCCCACUGGGCGCGACCUUUAUCAGGUGGCAUAUCACGGCCCCAUCGGGCGCGACCUCUAAUAGGUGGCAUAAAACGGCCCCACUGGGCGCGACCUUUAUCAGGUGGCAUAUCACGGCCCCAUCGGGCGCGACCUCUAAUAGGUGGCAUAAAACGGCCCCACUGGGCGCGACCUCUAAUAGGUGGCAUAUUCACUACCUCAUCUCUCCUCAAUUCCCACACUUAGAAAUUUACAAAGAAUCCAUAUAUAUCGCAAUCACACUCAAUUCGCCACAACCAAUCAUCAAUAUCAAAUUCUAAAUGCACAGCAGCGAUCGGCACGAAAUUCUGAGUAAAUAAGGUUCCCAAAUAAUUUUCAGAAUUUAUUAAAUAAUUAAAUUUAUUCCGAAAAUUAAUAUAAUAAUAAUAUCCAUAUUUUUCACGAUCCACACUCAAUUUAAAAUAUCCAAUCAUCAAUUUCAAAAUCCGAAUGUACCGUAGCGACCGGUACGAAAUUCUGAGAAUUUAGGGUCCCGACCAAAAUUUGCGGAAUUUAAUAAAUAAUUAUAUUUAUUCCGAAAAUAAUUAAAUAAUAAUAUUUUAAUAAUUUCGAAUAUUAAAAUAUUAUUUAAUUAUUCAAUAAUUUCGAGAUAUUUAAAUAAAUCAAAAGUAAAUUCCUUUUUGUCACAUCAAGGUUUAUAUUAAUAUAAACACCCACUUAACUUUAAAUUAAACACAAUUUAAGCUAAUUAAACACAUUGAUAUAAUCUACACUUAAAUAAAUUAAACUAACCACCUAAUAACACUUAACAUAAACUAAACACACCUAAAGCAUCAUUAACCCUCUAAGCGAGGUUUAGUGAGUUAAACUCACCGGAUUAGCGAGCCGAGCGGACCAAAACGACGAGGCCGACGCGAGGAUCGACUUUCCUCAAAGCGGGCCGAGCAUCCGAGCUCGGAAAGGCGGCCAAAACGGGCCACGAAGGGCUGCCAUACCCAUUUUUCUGGGUUGCUGAUCGGGGCCGAGAUGGGAGCAGAUCCGGUGCCGGUUUGGGCGGCCAAGGGCGGCGGAGGCAAGGUGAAGCUCCGGCGGGCUAAGGCGGGGCCGCACGGUGGCUCACGGCGGCGGGGACGAGCUCCGGCAGCUCCCGGAACCCACGAACCGAGACUGAGACGCAGCUGGGCGUCGGCCAAGCGCGGGCGAGCGCGGGCAACGGCGGAGCGCGAGACGGUGAGCGGCGACGGGCGGAGGCGUGCGGCCGCUCCGAUGGUGCUGCUUCGGCGUCCAUCCCAGAUCUGGGAUUUCGAGCAGCAAACGAAGAUGGAGAGAGAGAGCGACGGUGGCGCGACUAAGCGACGGCGAGCGGGUGGAGGGGCGGAGCAGCUCGCGUGCGGACGGGCGGCGACGACGAACGGCGAAGGGGGGCGGCUUCUCUAGCUUGCUGGUUGCUGGGUUUUCAAAGAAGAAGGAGAUGAAGAAGAUGGAGAUGGAGGAGUCGCACGGGAGAGAGAGGAAGAAGAGAGGGAGGAGAGAGAAGAAGGGG
rnacentral:lncRNA from 1 species